rnacentral:rRNA from 1 species
GACGAACGCUGGCGGCGUGCCUAAUACAUGCAAGUUGAGCGCUGAAGGUUGGUACUUGUACCAACUGGAUGAGCAGCGAACGGGUGAGUACCGCGUGGGGACUCUGCCUUUGAGCGGGGGACAACAUUUGGAAACGAAUGCUAAUACCGCAUAAAAACUUUAAACACAAGUUUUAAGUUUGAAAGAUGCAAUUGCAUCACUCAAAGAUGAUCCCGCGUUGUAUUAGCUAGUUGGGGAGGGAAAGGCUCACCAAGGCGAUGAUACAUAGCCGACCUGGGAGGGUGGACGGCCAAAUUGGGACUGGGAAACGGCCCAAACUCCUACGGGAGGCAGCAGUAGGGGAUCUUCGGACAUUGACGAAAGUCUGACCGAGCAAAGCCGCGGGAGUGAAGAAGGGUUUCGGAUCGUAAAACUAUGUUGGGAGAGAAGAACGUUGGUGAGAGUGGAAAGCUCAUCAAGUGACGGUAACUACACAGAAAGGGACGGCUAACUACGUG